rnacentral:rRNA from 1 species
CCUACGGGUGGCAGCAGUGGGGAAUAUUGGACAAUGGGGGCAACCCUGAUCCAGCCAUGCCGCGUGUGUGAAGAAGGCCCUCGGGUUGUAAAGCACUUUCAGUGAGGAAGAACGCCUGGUGGUUAAUACCCAUCAGGAAAGACAUCACUCACAGAAGAAGCACCGGCUAACUCCGUGCCAGCAGCCGCGGUAAUACGGAGGGUGCGAGCGUUAAUCGGAAUUACUGGGCGUAAAGCGCGCGUAGGUGGCUUGAUAAGCCGGUUGUGAAAGCCCCGGGCUCAACCUGGGAACGGCAUCCGGAACUGUCAAGCUAGAGUGCAGGAGAGGAAGGUAGAAUUCCCGGUGUAGCGGUGAAAUGCGUAGAGAUCGGGAGGAAUACCAGUGGCGAAGGCGGCCUUCUGGACUGACACUGACACUGAGGUGCGAAAGCGUGGGUAGCAAACAGGAUUAGAUACACCAGUAGUC